GAUGAACGCUGGCGGCGUGCCUAAUACAUGCAAGUCGAGCGCACGGACGAGAAGCUUGCUUCUCUGAUGUUAGCGGCGGACGGGUGAGUAACACGUGGAUAACCUACCUAUAAGACUGGGAUAACUUCGGGAAACCGGAGCUAAUACCGGAUAAUAUUUUGAACCGCAUGGUUCAAAAGUGAAAGACGGUCUUGCUGUCACUUAUAGAUGGAUCCGCGCUGCAUUAGCUAGUUGGUAAGGUAACGGCUUACCAAGGCAACGAUGCAUAGCCGACCUGAAAGGGUGGUCGGCCACACUGGAACUGAGACACGGUCCAGACUCCUACGGGGGGCAGCAGUAGGGAAUCUUCCGCGAGGGGCGAAAGCCUGACGGAGCAACGCCGCGUGAGUGAUGAAGGUCUUCGGAUCGUAAAACUCUGUUAUUAGGGAAGAACAUAUGUGUAAGUAACUGUGCACAUCUUGACGGUACCUAAUCAGAAAGCCACGGCUAACUACGUG
rnacentral:rRNA from 1 species